GGAGCUUGCUCUUCUUGGAUGAGUUGCGAACGGGUGAGUAACGCGUAGGUAACCUGCCUGGUAGCGGGGGAUAACUAUUGGAAACGAUAGCUAAUACCGCAUGAAAUAGAUUAUCGCAUGAUAAUUCAUUGAAAGGUGCAAAUGCAUCACUACCAGAUGGACCUGCGUUGUAUUAGCUAGUUGGAGGGGUAACGGCUCACCAAGGCGACGAUACAUAGCCGACCUGAGAGGGUGAUCGGCCACACUGGGACUGAGACACGGCCCAGACUCCUACGGGAGGCAGCAGUAGGGAAUCUUCGGCAAUGGACGGAAGUCUGACCGAGCGACGCCGCGUGAGUGAAGAAGGUUUUCGGAUCGUAAAGCUCUGUUGUAAGAGAAGAACGAGUGUGAGAGUGGAAAGUUCACACUGUGACGGUAUCUUACCAGAAAGGGACGGCUAACUACGUGC
rnacentral:rRNA from 1 species